GACGAACGCUGGCGGCGUGCUUAACACAUGCAAGUCGAACGAUGAAGAAGAGAAACGCGAACUUCGGUUCAAAUUUCACUUCGGAUUAGUGGCAGACGGGUGAGUAACGCGUGGGCAACCUACCUCUUACAAAGGGAUAGCCUCGGGAAACCGUGAUUAAUACCAUAUGACACAUUCAUAAGGCAUCUUAAGAAUGUUAAAUCUACGGCGGAAAGAGAUGGGCUCGCGUCCCAUUAGCUAGUUCGUGAGGUAACGGCCCACCAAGGGGACGAUGGUUAACCGGCCUGAGAGGGUGAGUGGGCACAUGUGAACUGAGACACAGUCCAAACUCCUACGGGAGGGAGCAGUGGGGAAUAGUGCACCAUGGAGUGAACUCUGAUGGAGCGACGCCGCGUGAGCGAUGAAGGAAUUCGUGUCGUAAAGCUCUGUUCUAUGGGAAGAAAAGGACUGUACCAUAGGAGAAAGCCACGGCUAAAUACGUG
rnacentral:rRNA from 1 species